CCUACGGGCUUCAGCCGUUUUUACUAUUUCCCCCUUUUUUCCCCCCUGCUGCCGCGCCGCCGCGUGAGUGAAGAAGUAUUUCGGUAUGUAAAGCUCUAUCAGCAGGGAAGAAAUAAAGUCCUUCGGACUUUGGACGGUACCUGACUAAGAAGCCCCGGCUAACUACGUGCCAGCAGCCGCGGUGAUACGUAGGGGGCAAGCGUUAUCCGGAUUUACUGGGUGUAAAGGGAGCGUAGACGGCAGCGCAAGUCUGGAGUGAAAUCCCAUGGCUUAACCAUGGAACUGCUUUGGAAACUGUGCAGCUGGAGUGCAGGAGAGGUAAGCGGAAUUCCUAGUGUAGCGGUGAAAUGCGUAGAUAUUAGGAGGAACACCAGUGGCGAAGGCGGCUUACUGGACUGUAACUGACGUUGAGGCUCGAAAGCGUGGGGAGCAAACAGGAUUAGAUACCCCUGUAGUC
rnacentral:rRNA from 1 species